GCGCCCAUAGCUCAGUGGAUAGAGCGUCUGGUUGCGGACCAGAAGGCCGGGAGUUCGAGUCUCUCUGGGCGCA
rnacentral:tRNA from 1 species